UUGAAGGUAUAAAAAGUUUAACCUGCCCACUGAUAAAAUUUUAAAGGGCCGCGGUAUUCUGACUGUGCAAAGGUAGCAUAAUCGUUAGUUUUUUAAUUGGAAUCUUGUAUGAAUGGUUUGACAAAAAAAAAUCUGUCUUUAUAAUUAUUUAUUGAAUUUAACUUUUAAGUGAAAAGGCUUAAAUAAAUUAAAAAGACGAUAAGACCCUAUAAAGCUUAAUAUUAAGUUUUUAUUUAAUUGAAUUUUAAAUUGUAUAAAAAUUUGGUGAAAAAUUUUUAUUUUAUUGGGGCGAUAAUGGUAAAAUGAUUAUUAACUGUUAAUUUUUUUAGACAAAAAUAAAUGAAUAAAAUAAUUUAUUGUAAAGGAUCCUUAUUAAAGAUUAUAAGUUUAAGUUACUUUAGGGAUAACAGCGUUAUUUUUUUUGAGAGUUCUUAUCGAGAAAAAAGUUUGCGACCUCGAUGUUGAAUUAAAAUAUCUAUAUAAUUGUAGCAGUUAUAUAAGAAGGUCUGUUCGACCUUUAAAAUUUUACGUGAUUUGAGUUCAGACCGGCGUAAGCCAGGUCGGUUUCUAUCUUUUAAUAUUUAAUAAUUGUUUUAGUACGAAAGGAUUAAACAAUUAAAAUUAUUUUUAAAAAUAAAUGGAUAAAA
rnacentral:rRNA from 1 species